rnacentral:rRNA from 1 species
UACAAAGUGUUAAAGAGCAUUCGAUGGAUGCCUUGGCGUUAGCAGGCGAUGAAGGACGUAACAGGCUGCGAUAAGCCUCGGGUAGCUGCCAAUAAGCUUUGAUCCGAGGAUUUCCGAAUGGGGAAACCCACCUCUUUUGAGGUAUCUCUAACUGAAUAAAUAGGUUUGAGAGGCGAACCUGGUGAACUGAAAUAUCUAAGUAGCCA